AUAUAUUGACUUAGUGUACGGAGAAAUCAUGCACACACAUUCCCUGGUCACUGCACUGGUACUCUUUAUAUAUGGCACUCAUGCAAAUGAGAACAAAGACGUGAAAAUAGUGACCGUUCUAAACGUAACUACAAAUAGAGAAUCUUGCCAAUACAAUGGAAAAAGUUUUACUUCCACAUAUUACCCGGAAGCGACAUGCGAGAGCUGGACCUGCUAUGCAAGAAAAAAUACAAUCGAGAAGACUCUAUGCAGAGAACCUUUACCACCUUGCAGAUUUACCAAUGCUUCCGCUGAGUUUCCGAAGUGCUGCGAGACAACGUGUCCUAC